CUUAGAGUUUGAAUUCCUGGUUCAGGAUGACCGCUGGCGGUAUGCUUAACCACAUGCCAGUGAAACGGUGUUUUCGGACAUAGUGGCGGACGGGUGAGUAACGCGUGAGAAUCUAGCUUCAGGUCUGGGACAACCACUGGAAACGGUGGCUAAUACCGGAUGUGCCGGAAGGUGAAAGGCUUGCUGCCUGAAGAUGAGCUCGCGUCCGAUUAGCUAGUAGGUGGGGUAAGAGCCUACCUAGGCGACGAUCGGUAGCUGGUCUGAGAGGAUGACCAGCCACACUGGGACUGAGACACGGCCCAGACUCCUACGGGAGGCAGCAGUGGGGAAUUUUCCGCAAUGGGCGAAAGCCUGACGGAGCAAUACCGCGUGAGGGAGGAAGGCUCUUGGGUUGUAAACCUCUUUUCUCAGGGAAGAACACAAUGACGGUACCUGAGGAAUCAGCAUCGGCUAACUCCGUGCCAGCAGCCGCGGUAAUACGGAGGAUGCAAGCGUUAUCCGGAAUGAUUGGGCGUAAAGCGUCCGCAGGUGGCUGUGUAAGUCUGCUGUCAAAGAGCAAAGCUCAACUUUGUAAAGGCAGUGGAAACUACACGGCUAGAGUGCGUUCGGGGCAGAGGGAAUUCCUGGUGUAGCGGUGAAAUGCGUAGAGAUCAGGAAGAACACCGGUGGCGAAGGCGCUCUGCUAGGCCGCAACUGACACUGAGGGACGAAAGCUAGGGGAGCGAAUGGGAUUAGAUACCCCAGUAGUCCUAGCUGUAAACGAUGGA
rnacentral:rRNA from 1 species